CUACUACCGCCGCUUUCGCGUUAUAAAACUGGGGAUCACUGAAAAAGGUAAUUCCCGCUCCCAAGGCCUUGAUUAGGGUUCUUCUUGGAACCCUAAUGGCGAUUUUUGUAGCGAAUCGAGGCCUUCAAAUCGAUCUCAAUCUCCAGUCUCGGUACCUCGUCUUCUCGUUAUGGGCAAAGAAAGGAUAUAACUCCUCAGGUCCAGUGAGGUACGUUCCGAGGGAUUAUGCACAAAUCAAGAAAGCCCAUAAGUCUCCACCCUUGGGGAGCUAUGAGAAGAAAGAAACCAAUUUGCUCAAAGCUAAAGCGUCAGAGGUUGGAAAGAGUGCUCCCCAAACCCCCAAUUUUGAUGAUAAUGGGUUUCAUAACAGGCUUUUCAACGCCGGACCAAUGAAAUCAAGCGAUAUUCUUGAGCAGAUUGAAGAAUUUUCAGAGUUUGAAGAUGCCAAUGACACUGUUCUUGAGUUCGUGGACGCUGAUGUUAGGGAUGAGUCUGAACUGCUUCUUGAUGAGGCCUCAAAUUCUUGUGAAAUUAAGGGCGCUAAACAGGAUGAAGUAGUCAGCAGUAAGACUAGACAAGAUGCUGAACAGCUGGCGAUUGAAUUACUUGCAGCAAGGGCAUUUACAACAAUUGAGCUUCAAAAGAAAUUGCGUGGGAGGAAAUACCCUCUUGAUAUAGUUGACUCGGUGAUAGCCGAAAUAAAGAGCAGGAAGAACUGCAGGUCGCCACUUCAGAUGGAAAUAGUCUGGUAGUUGGCUCCUUUGCAUGAGUAUAAGAGCAGGGCCUAACUAUUAAAGAGGGCUGCUAGUGGGUUUUAGAGUGAGGCGGUGGGAAGGAGGGAGGAAGAAGGGGGGAGGGGGAAGAGAGAGAGAGAGAGAUGAAUUCUCUCAUGUGCAGCUCAAGUAUGGGUUUCUUGCAGCUAUAAUUUGUUCGAGGUUCAUGAUUGUAUUUGGAUUCUAGUUUCAGCAUCUGACAACUGCAGACCGUGACAAAUGGCAAUUUUCAUGGUUGGGUUACAUUAACUCUGAAAAUGGAACAGAUGGUAGAAAAUAAAUUAUUUAUGGAUAUAUGUCUCAUUGGAUAUCCUGGCUACACAGAAAGCAUAGAUAGUCAUUGGAAAAAGUUAUGCCUUAACCUUCCAAGAAAAAGUCUUCUUUUCAGCCUUUUGAUAUUAUGUCUACUUAAAGUUCUUUCGUGAUAGUUAACAGAGUUUUCCUUUCAUCCUUCGUAUCCCAUAUGGAAAUUUAUUUUUAUAGUAGUUGGAUAUGCCUAAAAGGUCAUAAUAGUUCGUGCCACUUUGUUCUGAUUGAUCCACAAAACUUCAAGAUGUUUUCUCUAAACAUUUUCCCUUGUGCGUUUCUCAUGUUUGAUUCAUAAGCAAUGCUUGGUUAAUUGAUACAUAAAUCUUUGCGCGUGCAUGUGUAUGUACUUGUCAAGCAUAUGCAUGGAGGCUAUUAGAUUUUCUUUUCUUCCAUUGAAGGGGCCUCCUAAGUGAUGGCUUAUAUGCGGAAUCAUUCUCUCAAUCUCGAUGGCUCUCGUCAACUUGGGGUCCAAGGCGUAUCAAGCAAGCACUUCGUAAGAAGGGAAUAAGUGAGGUUGAAGCAGAUAAAGCAACAAGGCAGGUAUUUGAGGACGACGACGGUAGUGGUGAAUCCCCCAGCAUGCAGCAUGGCAUGUCCAAGACUUCAAUGGACCGUCUCUUUCUUCAGGCCUCCAAACAGUGGCUCCGAGGUCGCAGCACAUCUCUACAGAACCGCAAGGCAAGACUAGUAAGGUGGCUCCAGUACCGUGGAUUCAGCUGGGGUGUCACCAGCACCAUAUUGAAAAGGCUCGAAUCUCAAUAUCCCUUGCGAGAGUAGGCUUCAUGGCAUGCAGAAACUGUCUUCGGGAUUUAAUCUGUGUGACUUGAGAUUGCACUGGUGGGCAGCCUGCUUGGCAUCUACUGUUAAACUGGAUUUUAUGCAGCGGAGACCAAGCAUGAGGCAGAUGGCAGAGCAGUAGCAGGAGACAGAAGCGAAAAAUGUACACAGUUCAUUCAACAUAUGGCAACCAUCAUGGCAUUGUGUUUGUUACUUGAAACUGCUGUGCCAGGUUAUCAGUUAAAAUGCUAUAACAGAUAUGUUGAUGGGAUUUUUAUGUCCAUUGUGUCACAAUAGGUAUAGUUCAUCUUCUUGGACGUUCAAGCUAAGAGGUCUUCUCUUUAUUAGCCUCUGGUUUUAGAGAUACUAUAUAUUGUAAUUUAUGAACCUGGUGAUUACCAAGAAAUGAUCCUUAUGCCUCUCUAUUGUGCAUUUA